CCUGGACCUGAACAUGGACCUGAGCCCAGCUGUGUGUCCAUGAAGAGUGACAGGAUCCAUCAGAGACCAAACUUCCCUGAGCCCAGCAGUGUGUCCAUGAAGAGUAACAUGUCAAUGGGUUACCUCAUUAAUUUCAAAGGACAGCCUCCCUCUGCUGCAAAGAAAGUGGACCAGGAGAGCUCAGAGGUUCCCAGUGCUCAGUCUGCCCAGCAGCAU